UAAUACGUAGGCAGCAAACGUUGUUCGGAGUUACUGGGCGUAAAGAGUGCGUAGGCGGUUCGCCAAGUUUGGUGUGAAAUCUCCCGGCUUAACUGGGAGGGUGCGCCGAAAACUGGCGGGCUUGAGUGUGGGAGAGGGAAGCGGAAUUCCUGGUGUAGCGGUGAAAUGCGUAGAUAUCAGGAGGAACACCGGUGGUGUAGACGGCUUCCUGGACCACAACUGACGCUGAGGCACGAAAGCGUGGGUAGCAAACAGG
rnacentral:rRNA from 1 species